AGCGUUGCUUCGGUUUGUCAGUUCAAGCAAGAAAACGUCCUUACCGAAGAGAUCUGGGUGCUAAAACAAACUCUGGAGCUCUUUUUUUCUGUUGAACACGAGUGAGACGACUCUGAACACACCUGCGGCGUGAAGGUUUACUUGUUCAGCUGCUGCAGCCUGGACAGAAACACCACAUUCCUAAAGGUGUGAUGAUUUUUCACCACUUUGUCCAUGAUCACAGAGAGUCUUCGUACAGUGAAGUAGUUCUCUGAAACCAGGACUGAGGCCUCCAGGUUUACUUGUUCAGCUGCUGCAGCCUGGACAGAAACACCACAUUCCUAAAGGUGUGAUGAUUUUUCACCACUUUGUCCAUGAUCACAGAGAGUCUUCGUACAGUGAAGUAGUU